GGAGCUGAUGAAGAGACAGCCACGACAGCACAGACUAAAAAGAUAAUUUUUGCUCCACUUCCAGUCCUAGGGCAUAAUUCUGCUCACAGCUGGAAAGAAUGGACAGCAGUGGAGAAAAAAGGAUUAAGAAAUCAAGCAGAAUAUUUAAUGCAGGAUGAAUUUUCAAGCAACUAAUUUAUUCCAGCAUUCAAGACUGCAGAAUGGAAAUAAGAUAAUGAAGUAAGAAAAUACCUGAAGAGAUGAGACAGCAAAAACAGUCUGAGAAAAGCAGGAAAAAGAAGAUAAACAAUACGCCCAUGAAUUUUGCUCAAAGGUGCAUCAGCUGCAGCAAAUCUGUGUAGGACUGCCGCUGCAGAGCAUACAAACACCGGGAGAUCUUGCGAUACAAAGCA
rnacentral:lncRNA from 1 species